CAUGUACUCCCUCCGUUUCGAAUUACUUGUCACAAGUAUGGAUGUAUCUAGAUGUAUUUUAGUUCUAGAUACAUCCAUUUCUGUGACGAGUAAUUUGGAACGGAGAGAGUAGCUA
rnacentral:pre_miRNA from 1 species